AUUGAACGCUGGCGGCAGGCCUAACACAUGCAAGUCGAACGGUAACAGGAAGCAGCUUGCUGCUUCGCUGACGAGUGGCGGACGGGUGAGUAAUGUCUGGGAAACUGCCUGAUGGAGGGGGAUAACUACUGGAAACGGUAGCUAAUACCGCAUAACGUCGCAAGACCAAAGAGGGGGACCUUAGGGCCUCUUGCCAUCGGAUGUGCCCAGAUGGGAUUAGCUAGUAGGUGGGGUAACGGCUCACCUAGGCGACGAUCCCUAGCUGGUCUGAGAGGAUGACCAGCCACACUGGAACUGAGACACGGUCCAGACUCCUACGGGAGGCAGCAGUGGGGAAUAUUGCACAGUGGGCGCAAGCCUGAUGCAGCCAUGCCGCGUGUAUGAAGAAGGCCUUCGGGUUGUAAAGUACUUUCAGCGGGGAGGAAGGGAGUAAAGUUAAUACCUUUGCUCAUUGACGUUACCCGCAGAAGAAGCACCGGCUAACUCCGU
rnacentral:rRNA from 1 species